GAUGAACGCUGGCGGCACGCCUAACACAUGCAAGUCGAACGGAGUUUAAGAGAGCUUGCUCUUUUAAACUUAGUGGCGGACGGGUGAGUAACACGUGAGCAACCUGCCUUUCAGAGAGGGAUAGCUUCUGGAAACGGAUGGUAAUACCUCAUAACAUACGGAUUCGGCAUCGUUUCUGUAUCGAAGAUUUAUCGCUGAAAGAUGGGCUCGCGUCUGAUUAGCUGGUUGGUGAGGUAACGGCUUACCAAGGCGACGAUCUGUAGCCGGACUGAGAGGUUGGACGGCCACAUUGGGACUGAGACACGGCCCAAACUCCUACGGGAGGCAGCAGUGGGGGAUAUUGCACAAUGGAGGAAACUCUGAUGCAGCGACGCCGCGUGAGUGAAGAAGUAUUUCGGUAUGUAAAGCUCUAUCAGCAGGGAAGAAAGACUCGCAAGAGAGAUGACGGUACCUGACUAAGAGCCCCGGCUACUACGUGCCAGCAGCCGCGGUAUACGUAGGGGCAGCGUUAUCCGGAUUUACUGGGUGUAAAGGGAGCGUAACGCAUGCAAGUCUGAUGUGAAACCAGGGCUCACCCCCGAUGCAUUGAACUGUUUAUUCAGUCUGAGGGCAGGGAAUUCUGUGUACGUAUGUAAUCAAGAACUGCAGCCGGCAAACUAGCACUGAAGACGCCCCAAGAGUCG
rnacentral:rRNA from 1 species